GACGAACGCUGGCGGCGUGCCUAAUACAUGCAAGUAGAACGCUGAAGGAGGAGCUUGCUUCUCUGGAUGAGUUGCGAACGGGUGAGUAACGCGUAGGUAACCUGCCUGGUAGCGGGGGAUAACUAUUGGAAACGAUAGCUAAUACCGCAUAAGAGUAGAUGUUGCAUGACAUUUACUUAAAAGGUGCAAUUGCAUCACUACCAGAUGGACCUGCGUUGUAUUAGCUAGUUGGUGAGGUAACGGCUCACCAAGGCAACGAUACAUAGCCGACCUGAGAGGGUGAUCGGCCACACUGGGACUGAGACACGGCCCAGACUCCUACGGGAGGCAGCAGUAGGGAACCUUCGGCAAUGGACGGAAGUCUGACCGAGCAACGCCGCGUGAGUGAAGAAGGUUUUUGGAUCGUAAAGCUCUGUUGUAAGAGAAGAACGAGUGUGAGAGUGGAAAGUUCACACUGUGACGGUAUCUUACCAGAAAGGGACGGCUAACUACGUG
rnacentral:rRNA from 1 species